rnacentral:misc_RNA from 1 species
GAUGAAGAACGCAGCGAAAUGCGAUAAGUAAUGUGAAUUGCAGAAUUCAGUGAAUCAUCGAAUCUUCGAACGCACAUUGCGCCCGCCAGUAUUCUGGCGGGCAUGCCUGUUCGAGCGUCAUUUCAACCAUCAAGCCCCCGGCUUGUGUUGGGGACCUGCGGCUGCCGCAGGCCCUGAAAACCAGUGGCGGGCUCGCUAGUCACUCCGAGCGUAGUAAUACAUCUCGCUCAGGGCGUGCUGCGGUUUCCGGCCGUUAAAAAGCCUUAUUUACCCAAGGUUGACCUCGGAUCAGGUAGGAAGACCCGCUGAACUUAAGCAUAUCAAUAAGCGGAGGA